UCCUUCGUAGCUCAAUCAGGAGAGCACCCGCCUUGUAACCGGGAGACCGCGGCGCGAAACCGCGCGGAGGAUCCA
rnacentral:tRNA from 1 species